rnacentral:lncRNA from 1 species
UAUAGAACCUCUAUAUUCAUUUGCAAAUAGAGUAAUCUCUCUCAAUCUAAAAAUUUGUUGGUACAUCUCCAUUAAAAUAUUAGUUUGUGUGACUACAGUUCUUAAGCUAUUGAGAUCAUUUUGAAAAGAGAAAACUUGGAGUUUGGACAAAGAAAAUGAUAGUAAAUGGUAGAAGCAAAUGAAAAAAUUCAGAUGCAGCCUUAAAUGUUAUGAAAUCAGAGACAAAGAACUUUCUUAGUGUUUCUGUUAAAGGGAUGGCACUAAAAUGAAUACCAGGUCCCUCCUUUUCCUUUUUCCUCUCUCAGAAUCUUGAAGUGUCGGGUGUGAUGAAUUUAUUUGUUUCUCAACUUUUUUUUUAUUAUUAUUUGGGGGGGGGGUGUACCAGGGAUUGAACUCAGGGGUACUUGACCCCUGAGCCAUAUCCCCAGCCCUAUUUUGUAUUUUAUUAGAGACAGGGUCUCAAAGAGUUGCUUAGCGCCUGCUAAAUUGCUGAGGCUGGCUUUGAAUUUGGCAAUCCUUGUUAAAUCAGCCUCUGAGCCGCUGGGAUUAUAGGCGUGUUCCACGCGCCUGGCCUUUUUUUUUUUUUAUAAUCAUUUUUUUACAUGACAGUAUAUUUUGAAAUAUUAUACAUACACAUAAGUAUAAUUGUUUCAGUUAAGAUCCCAUUAUUGUGGUUGUACAUGAUGUGGAGUUACAUUGGUCAUGUAUUUCUAUAUGAGGACAGGAAAGAUAUGUCCAAUUCAUUCUAAUCUUUCCUAUUACCAUACCCCCUCCCUUUCCUUCAUUUCCCUUUGUCUAAUCCAGUGAAUUUCUAAUCUCCCCCUCCCUUAUUAUGGGUUAAAAAGACUAAUUUAGGUCAGGUGCAGUGGCACAUGCCUAUAAUCCCAGCAGCUUGGGAGGCUGAGGCAGGAGGAUAGCCAGUUCAAAGCCAGCCUCAGAUAUUUAGCGAGGCAUUUAGCAACUCAUUGAGACCUUGUCUCUAAACAAAAAAUUUUUUUUAAAAAGGCUGGGAAUAUGGCUCAGUGGUUGAGCCCCCAUGGGUUCAAUCC